rnacentral:rRNA from 1 species
CUCAAAUGAAUUGACGGGGGCCCGCACAAGCGGUGGAGCAUGUGGUUUAAUUCGAUGCAACGCGAAGAACCUUACCUACUCUUGACAUCCAGAGAACUUAGCAGAGAUGCUUUGGUGCCUUCGGGAACUCUGAGACAGGUGCUGCAUGGCUGUCGUCAGCUCGUGUUGUGAAAUGUUGGGUUAAGUCCCGCAACGAGCGCAACCCUUAUCCUUUGUUGCCAGCGAUUCGGUCGGGAACUCAAAGGAGACUGCCAGUGAUAAACUGGAGGAAGGUGGGGAUGACGUCAAGUCAUCAUGGCCCUUACGAGUAGGGCUACACACGUGCUACAAUGGCAUAUACAAAGAGAAGCGACCUCGCGAGGGCAAGCGGACCUCAUAAAGUAUGUCGUAGUCCGGAUUGGAGUCUGCAGCUCGACUCCAUGAAGUCGGAAUCGCUAGUAAUCGUAGAUCAGAAUGCUACGGUGAAUACGUUCCCGGGCCUUGUACACACCGCCCGUCACACCAUGGGAGUGGGUUGCAAAAGAAGUAGGUAGCUUAACCUUCGGGAGGGCGCUUACCACUUUGUGAUUCAUGACUGGGGUGAAGUCGUAACAAGGUAAC